UAGUUUGAUCCUGGCUCAGGACGAACGUUUAUAGUAUGCUUAACACAUGCAAGUCGAACGGAGCGAAUGAACCUCUAUUUUAUAAGCUUAGUGGCAAACGGGUGAGUAACACGUAGGCAACCUGCCGACAGGAUGGGGACAACAUUCCGAAAGGAAUGCUAAUACCGAAUGAAGCGGAGGAGAGGCAUCUCUCCUGCGUGAAAGAUGGCCUCUAUAUAUAAGCUAUCACCUGUCGAUGGGCCUGCGUCUGAUUAGCUGGUUGGUGAGGUAACGGCUCACCAAGGCGACGAUCAGUAGCCGGUCUGAGAGGAUGAACGGCCACAUUGGGACUGAGACACGGCCCAGACUCCUACGGGAGGCAGCAGUGGGGAAUCCUCCGCAAUGGGCGCAAGCCUGACGGAGCAACGCCGCGUGAGUGAAGAAGGUCUUCGGAUCGUAAAGCUCUGUUGAUGGGGACGAACGUGCCUAAUGCGAAUAGUUUUAGGUAAUGACGGUACCCAUCGAGGAAGCCACGGCUAACUACGUGCCAGCAGCCGCGGUAAUACGUAGGUGGCGAGCGUUGUCCGGAAUCAUUGGGCGUAAAGGGAGCGCAGGCGGGCAUGUAAGUCUUUCUUAAAAGUUCGGGGCUCACCCCCGUGAUGGGAAUGAAUCUAUGUGUUUUGAGUAC
rnacentral:rRNA from 1 species